UACGUAGGGGGCAAGCGUUGUCCGGAUUUAUUGGGCGUAAAGAGCGUGUAGGCGGCUGGGUAGGUCCGUUGUGAAAACUCGAGGCUCAACCUCGAGACGCCGAUGGAAACCCUCCAGCUAGAGUCCGGAAGAGGAGAGUGGAAUUCCUGGUGUAGCGGUGAAAUGCGCAGAUAUCAGGAAGAACACCCGUGGCUAAGGCGGCUCUCUAGUACGUGACUGACGCUGAGACGCGAAAGCGUGGGGAGCGAACAGG
rnacentral:rRNA from 1 species